ACGGGGGGUGCAAGCGUUGUUCGGAAUUAUUGGGCGUAAAGAGCGUGUAGGCGGCCGGAUAUGUCAGAUGUGAAAUCCCUGGGCUUAACCCAGGAAGUGCAUUUGAAACUGUCCGGCUAGAGUAGGGGAGAGGGAAGUGGAAUUCCUGGUGUGGCGACUAACUUCCUAGAUAUCGGGAGGAAGACGGGUGACGAAGGUGAGAUAAUGGCCUUAUACUGAUGCUAAGACGGUGGAGCGUGGGUAGGGAACAG
rnacentral:rRNA from 1 species